rnacentral:rRNA from 1 species
GACGUAGGGCGCAAGCGUGUCCGGAUUUAUUGGGCGUAAAGAGCUCGUAGGCGGCUGGUCACGUCGACUGUGAAAACCCGCGGCUCAACCGUGUGGUCUGCAGUCGAUACGGGCAGGCUAGAGUUCGGUAGGGGAGAUCGGAAUUCCUGGAUGUGAGCGGUGGAAAUGACGCAGAUAUCAGGAGGAACACCGGUGGCGAAGGCGGAUCUCUGGGCCGAUACUGACGCUGAGGAGCGAAAGCGUGGGGAGCGAACAGG